CCUACGGGAGGCAGCAGUGGGGGAUAUUGCACAAUGGGGGAAACCCUGAUGCAGCGACGCCGCGUGAGUGAAGAAUUAUUUCGGUAUGUAAAGCUUUAUCUGCAGGGAAGAAAAUGACAGUACCUGACCAAGAAGCCCCGGCUAACUACGUGCCAGCAGGCGCGGUAAUACGUAGGGAGCCAGCGUAAUCCGGAUUUACUGGGUGUAAAGGGAGCGUAGACGGUUAUGUAAGUCUGGAGUGAAAGCCUGGGGCCCAACGCCGGGACUGCUUUGGAAACUGUGUAACUGGAGUACAGGCGGGGCAGGCGGAAUUCCUGGUGUAGCGGUGAAAUGCGUAGAUAUCAGGAGGAACCCCGACGGCGAAGGCAGCCUGCUGGACUGAAACUGACGUUGAGGCUCGAAAGCGUGGGGAGCAAACAGGAUUAGAUACCCUUGUAGUC
rnacentral:rRNA from 1 species